rnacentral:lncRNA from 1 species
ACCUUUUCUGAGGCUCAUAGAUAUUCCAAUUCCCGUGAAAACCAUGUCGGACUCCACGAGGACUUUGGUUAAGCAGCAAAUGGCUUGCAGCCUUUUUUUUUCUUUUGAAAAAAAAAAGAAAGUAAAAAAUAAAAUUUAGGAAAAAACAAAAAAAAGGCGUGAACUAUUCCAUUUGUCGUCGUCGCAGCUUGCCGCAUCGUCCCCCACCCCACCCUAGAGAGUCGACGGCCAUGGCUGCCCGUCUCCUGAGCCGAUCCAAAACCCUAAGCGUAGCUCGCCUCUUUCACCCCUCCUCCUCCCUCAUUGACACCGGCACUCCCUCAUCCUUCUCCCAAUGCCUCCGGGUUCCCCCGCCGUUCAUCCGCCCGCUAUGCGAUUCCAGAUCCACUGUACCCGUGCUCGAUUCGGCCGGCGCUAUACCGCGCAACGCCCUCGUUGACUGCAGAAAGGUUCUCCUUUUCCUUUGUACUCCUCCUCCUCCUGUAUGGGCUCCGGACUUGGUGGUACUUGAUCUGCUAUGUGCUUUGGUGGUUCUGUUUAUUUCCUGAUGUAAAAGUUGCAAAGUUUAGGAUUUGAAAAGUGGAAAGGAGAGAGGAGAAACAUUGGCAGGGGAAAAAAGGACUCGCUGAAUAGAAUCUGGCAAUUUUAAUUGGCUGAUGAUUCUGCUUAGGAAAAGAAGGAGAAAGUAGUCUUGGAAGCAUCGGUUAUGAUGAUCUUUCUACAAUCUUGAUAACUUGCUGGACAAGAAUCUGCUGAUUCCAUGUUAACGAAUCUUUUCACUGUUUUGAAAAAUAAAUUAUCAUUCCGCAUCAAUGCUUCGGUAUAUGAAUGCGUAAACCAAAAAUAUAUAUUUUUACGAUCAGCGAAGUGUGAGCUGUUAUUUUAUCAAGUAUCAUUGUUUCAGUUGUUGUCGUUGCUGAUAUCAUUACCACUAUUAUCAUCAUUAUAAUUAUUAUAAUGAAAAUUAUCAUUGUAUUUUUUGUUGUUAUUCUCAUUAUCAUUAUCAUUAUUAUCAUUAUUUCUAUGGUGGUCAAUAAUGGUUUCCCUGGAGGGUUGUUAUAAUGGGAUAAUGGAAUUCUUGAUACCUUGGCCGAAUGCUUAAAUAGAUCCCUGACAAGCUGUACGAGAAUCUUAGUCAUUUUGACAUGCCUCCUGGCAGUUGGAUGGGCCUUUUAUAUUCUCGCAAACCUUGUAGGCAUUCUCUCAUAUGCACUUGGAUAAACACUUUUGACAUAUUACAAGCAUCCCAGACACAUGCAUAACUUCAAUUAUUAGUUGUAAAAACCUGUAAGGCAGUUGUACAUGACUAAUUUAGUACCAGUUAUCUCUUAGUCAUAUUGUAAAACAGGUUUGCUUGCUGUUUGUUAAUGUAUUCAUGGCUUUUAUUGCCAAAAGAAAAAUAAAGUUCUUAUGAGUUGAUCUUCUGAUCAGAUGUUGCUAUACAUCAAAUGCUUCACAUGUUGUACUGAAUUUCUUGAUUUGCCUUUAAUUGUUGACAUUGUCUACCGGGUUUCUUUAAAAGCAUGUGUUUGCUGUCCUAAUUCCUUGCAAGCCUUCAUUUGUUGUCCUGCAGUCUUAUGAUAUUGAGUUUACUCUCCUGUUGUUCUUUGGUGUCUAGUUUUUCUUAUAGAGACCUGGAUCAUUACUAUGUGGCUGAUUUGCUUUAAGUUCUACAAUCAAGCCACUUGGCAUUCUAGAGCUAGAGAAUUGUCUUUUCUACAUACUUUGUGUGUAUAUGAAUAAUUUUAAUUUCUGACUUCUUGAGUUGUUCUAAUGGCUUUCAGAGAUGGCUUAAACCUGAGCUUGAGUCUGGUCUGGGACAGCUGGCAUGUUUUGUAUGGGCAACUAGAAACAAUGUGCUGUUUGUAAAGGCAUAUUGAUCAAAUUACUUGGAUGGUGGUUGUGUCAAGAUCAAUGCACCACCAAAAUGAAUGAUGGUUUUUACGAGUUAAGAAAAUGUUAGAUUUUAGAAGAAUAUCCAACUGAGUAUGCUUCUUCUUCUUCUUCUCCUCGUCCUCCUCUUCCUCCUCUCUCUCUCUCUCUCUCUCUCUCUCUCUCUCCCACACACACACACAC